CAAAAAUUAUUUGAUUCUUCAUCACAAUUUUGAUCGAUGUCAUUAAUAAAAAUCUUUGAUCUCUUCUACUACAUUUGCAAGCUUUUUGGUUGGUUCCUAUAUGCAUUUACUAAUAUCAUGUUUGUAGCAAUAAAUAAGAUAUUCUAAGUUAAGUCAACGUUACCUUAAAUCUAAGACUUUUUUAUUUUAAACUCUUAAUUAUUAUCUAUUUCUAUAGGAAGAGGUGGCAUUUGUGUCACGGACACAAAAUACAGACUUGAAAUCUAACAAGAAGUUCAAGAAGAAGUGGCAGAACUAGAUUAAACAGAUGAGUACAAGAACAACACCAGAAAGGUGAGCUAGAACUCCAAGAGAU
rnacentral:lncRNA from 1 species